rnacentral:rRNA from 1 species
UUGAUGGCGACCGGCGCACCGGGUGAGUAACGCGUAUCCAACCUGCCUUUACUAUGGGACAGCCCGUCGAAAGGCGGAUUAAUACCGUAUGUUGUCAUGUUUGAAUGCAUAUUUUCAUGACCAAAGGCUUCGGCCGGUAAAGGAUGGGGAUGCGUCUGAUUAGCUUGCCGGCGGGGUAACGGCCCACCGGGGCGACGAUCAGUAGGGGUUCUGAGAGGAAGGUCCCCACAUUGGAACUGAGACACGGUCCAAACUCCUACGGAAGGCAGCAG